GUGCUCACGUCAGCAGCACAGAUACUAAAAUUGGAAGGAUACAGAGAAGAUUAGCAUGGCCCCUGCAUAAGGAUGACCUACAAAUUCUUGAAGCGUUCUGUGUUUAA